rnacentral:rRNA from 1 species
GUGGGUAACCUGCCCAUCAGAAGGGGAUAACACUUGGAAACAGGUGCUAAUACCGUAUAACAAUCGAAACCGCAUGGUUCUGAUUUGAAAGGCGCUUUCGGGUGUCGCUGAUGGAUGGACCCGCGGUGCAUUAGCUAGUUGGUGAGGUAACGGCUCACCAAGGCCACGAUGCAUAGCCGACCUGAGAGGGUGAUCGGCCACAUUGGGACUGAGACACGGCCCAAACUCCUACGGGAGGCAGCAGUAGGGAAUCUUCGGCAAUGGACGAAAGUCUGACCGAGCAACGCCGCGUGAGUGAAGAAGGUUUUCGGAUCGUAAAACUCUGUUGUUAGAGAAGAACAAGGAUGAGAGUAACUGUUCAUCCCUUGACGGUAUCUAACCAGAAAGCCACGGCUAACUACGUGCCAGCAGCCGCGGUAAUACGUAGGUGGCAAGCGUUGUCCGGAUUUAUUGGGCGUAAAGCGAGCGCAGGCGGUUUCUUAAGUCUGAUGUGAAAGCCCCCGGCUCAACCGGGGAGGGUCAUUGGAAACUGGGAGACUUGAGUGCAGAAGAGGAGAGUGGAAUUCCAUGUGUAGCGGUGAAAUGCGUAGAUAUAUGGAGGAACACCAGUGGCGAAGGCGGCUCUCUGGUCUGUAACUGACGCUGAGGCUCGAAAGCGUGGGGAGCAAACAGGAUUAGAUACCCUGGUAGUCCACGCCGUAAACGAUGAGUGCUAAGUGUUGGAGGGUUUCCGCCCUUCCAGUGCUGCAG